UACGUAGGCAGCGAGCGUUGUUCGGAAUUAUUGGGCGUAAAGAGUGUGUAGGCGGUGCUCCAAGUCUGUUGUGAAAUCUCCCGGCUUAACUGGGAGGGUGCGGCGGAAACUGGAAUGCUAGAGGGUGGAGAGGUAAGCGGAAUUCCUGGUGUAGCGGUGAAAUGCGUAGAUAUCCGGAGGAACACCGGUGGCGAAGGCGGGUCUCUGGGUAGUAACUGACGCUGAGGAACGAAAGCGUGGGUAGCGAACAGG
rnacentral:rRNA from 1 species